rnacentral:misc_RNA from 1 species
AAGUCGUAACAAGGUAUCCGUAGGUGAACCUGCGGAUGGAUCAUUACCGUAUUUGGUCAUGAGUGAUGUGAAUGGUUCUGGUGGUUAAAACAGCAUACUUAGGCGCUAUUGAAAAAUACAACUUUCAGCAACGGAUCUCUUGGCUCUC